rfam:Oryza glumipatula chromosome 2, whole genome shotgun sequence.
AAUAAGUGUAGUUUUGCACUGUUUAUGUCUCACGUUUGACCGUUCGUUUUAUUUAAAAUUUUUUUAUGAUUAAUAUUUUUAAUGUUAUUAGAUGAUAAAACAUGAAUAAUAUUUUAUGUGUGACUAACUUAUUUUAAUUUUCUCAUAAAUUUUUUAAAUAAAAUGGCUAGACAAACUUUGUACACAGAUUCUCACGACUGUACUUAUU